rnacentral:tRNA from 1 species
GCCGGGGUAGCUCAGUGGCAGAGCAGCUGAUUCGUAAUCAGCAGGUCGUGGGUUCAACCCCCACCCCCGGCU